ensembl:snRNA U5 U5 spliceosomal RNA
AUACUCCGGUUUCAGAUCACAUAACUCUUUCGCCUUUUACUAAAGAUUUCUAUGGAUAGGAACAGCUCUGAGUUUUUAAAACUGUGAGACCUUGCAUUGGCAGGGC